UAGUCCACGCCGUAAACUAUGGAUACUAGGUGCUUGGGGAGUUAACCCCCUGAGUACUACAGCUAACGCAUUAAGUAUCCCGCCUGGGGAGUACGGUCGCAAGGCUAAAACUCAAAGGAAUUGACGGGGGCCCGCACAAGCGGUGGAGUAUGUGGUUUAAUUCGAAGCAACGCGCAGAACCUUACCUACCCUUAGCAUCCCAGGACAACCUCAGAGAUGAGGCUUUCCCUUCGGGGACUUGGUGAUAGGUGCUGCAUGGCUGUCGUCAGCUCGUGUCGUAAGAUGUUUGGUUAAGUCCAAUAACGAGCGCAACCCCUAUCUUUAGUUACCAGCAUUAAGUUGGGGACUCUAGAGAGACUGCCGGUGUUAAACCGGAGGAAGGCGGGGAUGACGUCAAGUCCUCAUGGCCCUUACGGGUAGGGCUACACACGUACUACAAUGGCAGAAACAGACCGUUUGCUAAGCCGCGAGGUGGAGCUAAUCGGUAAAACACUGUCUCAGUUCGGAUUGGAGUCUGCAACUCGACUCCA
rnacentral:rRNA from 1 species